GGGAGGGACACGGGGAGUGACGAGCAGCAAACACUCCCUGUCGGGCUUGAACCAUCCACAUCACGCUUUCAGCCUCCAACCAUGAACUCCAAAGGCGGAGUCAGGCUCUGGUCCCCGCCUCGGCCCUCACCUGUGUGUCAUGACUCACCUGCCGCUCAUCACCAGUGAUUUCCUCUGGCCUACUUAAGGUCUUGGCAGAGCAUGGGUCUUCAGUGACACUCCACACUAGUUGGUGGCGGUAAUGCAUCAUUUUGCUGUUUGCCUAAUGCCAAUAAAUAAUAUGAAGAAGAAGAAGAAGGGUCUUCACUGGAUCGUUGUGCUAACCCCCACCUCCCUGGACCCCUGCAUAUUACCCUUCCUUGUGGAUCUCGUGAGGAUGAGCGUGAGUGAGCCCUUUCGUGGACUGGCUUUUGGAAUGUUGUGAGUCACUGAUUGUGUGAAGAGGAGGGUGGAUGUUUCCCUGCCCUGGACUUUCCCUUGGAUUCCCUGGAGCCCCUUUUCCCUCCCUUCACUGUAUAUAUGCUUAUAUAUCACACUUGUUGUGCCUGCUGUAAAUAAACUCGUUUUGACUUUCAUCAGUCCUGCACCAGUGAACCCUGACAAGAUGUGUACAAAGUUUAACACUCACAGUCAUCAGGUAGCCAUGUUUAAUAGUCUAAAUGGAAUUAUGAACUCAAAAUGGCAAUGCAGAAGGAUGCAAGAGUUUGCAUUAUACUCCAGCAUUGUUUCUGUUACCUACAAACCCCUGCACGCACACUUUUCACCUGUUAUAUCCACACAUUGAUCACACACUGUGAACACGCACACUCCUGGCCCAUCUAUUCCAGCCACACCUACAAACACCCCCCCACCUAACACCUAAUGUUCUCACCACCCUGUCCUGCUCUGAUAGCAUCUCUGUCUCCUGCAGAGGAAAUGUCUCCCUCCGCUGCUUCCUUAUCACAGGAACAAUGCGGUGAAAUGCAGCGACACAGCCGCCUUAUCAGCAGCACAAUGCACAAAAACCAACACAAUGCCACACAUCGGCGCACAAACUCGUAAUACGGCUCAUUCAGCUCAUUCAACUCAAACUACUUCCACAAUGCUGCCUUAUAGGAAUACAUCGACGUAUCCAAUUUUAUUUUGUGCGCCUGUCAAUGUGUCUGCCACAGAACGAGGCACUUAACCCUGCCAGUGGUAAACUGUAAAGA